GGUUAAGCGACUAAGCGUACACGGUGGAUGCCCUGGCAGUCAGAGGCGAUGAAGGGCGUGCUAAUCUGCGAUAAGCGCCGGUAAGGUGAUAUGAACCGUUAUAACCGGCGAUACCCGAAUGGGGAAACCCAGUGUGACUCGUCACACUAUCAUUAACUGAAUCCAUAGGUUAAUGAGGCGAACCGGGGGAACUGAAACAUCUAAGUACCCCGAGGAAAAGAAAUCAACCGAGAUUCCCCCAGUAGCGGCGAGCGAACGGGGAGGAGCCCAGAGCCUGAAUCAGCAUGUGUGUUAGUGGAAGCGUCUGGAAAGGCGCGCGAUACAGGGUGACAGCCCCGUACACAAAAGCGCAUGUGCUGUGAGCUCGAUGAGUAGGGCGGGACACGUGGUAUCCUGUCUGAAUAUGGGGGGACCAUCCUCCAAGGCUAAAUACUCCUGACUGACCGAUAGUGAACCAGUACCGUGAGGGAAAGGCGAAAAGAACCCCGGCGAGGGGAGUGAAAAAGAACCUGAAACCGUGUACGUACAAGCAGUGGGAGCACCCUUUGGGGUGUGACUGCGUACCUUUUGUAUAAUGGGUCAGCGACUUAUAUUCUGUAGCAAGGUUAACCGAAUAGGGGAGCCGGAGGGAAACCGAGUCUUAAUUGGGCGUUAAGUUGCAGGGUAUAGACCCGAAACCCGGUGAUCUAGCCAUGGGCAGGUUGAAGGUUGGGUAACACUAACUGGAGGACCGAACCGACUAAUGUUGAAAAAUUAGCGGAUGACCUGUGGCUGGGGGUGAAAGGCCAAUCAAACCGGGAGAUAGCUGGUUCUCCCCGAAAGCUAUUUAGGUAGCGCCUCGUGAAUUCAUCUCCGGGGGUAGAGCACUGUUUCGGCUAGGGGGCCAUCCCGGCUUACCAACCCGAUGCAAACUGCGAAUACCGGAGAAUGUUAUCACGGGAGACACACGGCGGGUGCUAACGUCCGUCGUGAAGAGGGAAACAACCCAGACCGCCAGCUAAGGUCCCAAAGUCAUGGUUAAGUGGGAAACGAUGUGGGAAGGCCCAGACAGCCAGGAUGUUGGCUUAGAAGCAGCCAUCAUUUAAAGAAAGCGUAAUAGCUCACUGGUCGAGUCGGCCUGCGCGGAAGAUGUAACGGGGCUAAACCAUGCACCGAAGCUGCGGCAGCGACGCUGAUGCGUUGUUGGGUAGGGGAGCGUUCUGUAAGCCUGCGAAGGUGGCCUGUGAGGGUUGCUGGAGGUAUCAGAAGUGCGAAUGCUGACAUAAGUAACGAUAAAGCGGGUGAAAAGCCCGCUCGCCGGAAGACCAAGGGUUCCUGUCCAACGUUAAUCGGGGCAGGGUGAGUCGACCCCUAAGGCGAGGCCGAAAGGCGUAGUCGAUGGGAAACGGGUUAAUAUUCCCGUACUUGGUGUUACUGCGAAGGGGGGACGGAGAAGGCUAUGUUGGCCGGGCGACGGUUGUCCCGGUUUAAGCGUGUAGGCUGGUUUUCCAGGCAAAUCCGGAAAAUCAAGGCUGAGGCGUGACGACGAGGCACUACGGUGCUGAAGCAACAAAUGCCCUGCUUCCAGGAAAAGCCUCUAAGCAUCAGGUAACAUCAAAUCGUACCCCAAACCGACACAGGUGGUCAGGUAGAGAAUACCAAGGCGCUUGAGAGAACUCGGGUGAAGGAACUAGGCAAAAUGGUGCCGUAACUUCGGGAGAAGGCACGCUGACAUGUAGGUGAAGUGAUUUACUCAUGGAGCUGAAGUCAGUCGAAGAUACCAGCUGGCUGCAACUGUUUAUUAAAAACACAGCACUGUGCAAACACGAAAGUGGACGUAUACGGUGUGACGCCUGCCCGGUGCCGGAAGGUUAAUUGAUGGGGUCAGCGCAAGCGAAGCUCCUGAUCGAAGCCCCGGUAAACGGCGGCCGUAACUAUAACGGUCCUAAGGUAGCGAAAUUCCUUGUCGGGUAAGUUCCGACCUGCACGAAUGGCGUAAUGAUGGCCAGGCUGUCUCCACCCGAGACUCAGUGAAAUUGAACUCGCUGUGAAGAUGCAGUGUACCCGCGGCAAGACGGAAAGACCCCGUGAACCUUUACUAUAGCUUGACACUGAACAUUGAGCCUUGAUGUGUAGGAUAGGUGGGAGGCUUUGAAGCGUGGACGCCAGUCUGCGUGGAGCCGACCUUGAAAUACCACCCUUUAAUGUUUGAUGUUCUAACGUGGACCCGUUACCCGGGUUGCGGACAGUGUCUGGUGGGUAGUUUGACUGGGGCGGUCUCCUCCUAAAGAGUAACGGAGGAGCACGAAGGUUGGCUAAUCCUGGUCGGACAUCAGGAGGUUAGUGCAAUGGCAUAAGCCAGCUUGACUGCGAGCGUGACGGCGCGAGCAGGUGCGAAAGCAGGUCAUAGUGAUCCGGUGGUUCUGAAUGGAAGGGCCAUCGCUCAACGGAUAAAAGGUACUCCGGGGAUAACAGGCUGAUACCGCCCAAGAGUUCAUAUCGACGGCGGUGUUUGGCACCUCGAUGUCGGCUCAUCACAUCCUGGGGCUGAAGUAGGUCCCAAGGGUAUGGCUGUUCGCCAUUUAAAGUGGUACGCGAGCUGGGUUUAGAACGUCGUGAGACAGUUCGGUCCCUAUCUGCCGUGGGCGCUGGAGAACUGAGGGGGGCUGCUCCUAGUACGAGAGGACCGGAGUGGACGCAUCACUGGUGUUCGGGUUGUCAUGCCAAUGGCACUGCCCGGUAGCUAAAUGCGGAAGAGAUAAGUGCUGAAAGCAUCUAAGCACGAAACUUGCCCCGAGAUGAGUUCUCCCUGAGACUUUAGGUCUCCUGAAGGAACGUUGAAGACGACGACGUUGAUAGGCCGGGUGUGUAAGCGCAGCGAUGCGUUGAGCUAACCGGUACUAAUGAACCGUGAGGCUUAACCUU
rnacentral:rRNA from 1 species